GUGUGUGUGUGUGUGUGUGUGUGUGUGUGUGUGUGUGUGUAUAUAUAUAUAUAUAUAUAUAUAUACACACACACACACCGGUAUAUACAUACAU